GACGAACCGUGCAAACGUUGUUCGGAAUCACUGGGCUUAAAGGGCGCGUAGGCGGUCGACCAAGUCCGGGGUGAAAUCUUUCGGCUUAACCGGAAAAGUGCCUUGGAUACUGGUCGGCUGGAGGGAGGUAGGGCAGGUGGAACUUCCAGUGGAGCCGGUGAAAUGCGUUGAUAUUGGAAGGAACGCCGGUGGCGAAAGCGACCUGCUGGACCUUUCUGACGCUGAGGCGCGAAAGCCAGGGAGCAAACGGG
rnacentral:rRNA from 1 species